CUUGAAGAUGCACUCUCAAUUUGUUAUUGUAUUUCAGCCAGUAGUUUUGAAGUGGUGCUCGUGUGCCAAAAGUGUUCCCCAUUUUUUGUUUACUACGUCGUCAAGUUGAGUACUACGUCAUCCAUUUUGUAUGAUGUUACAUCCUGCAAAAACAAAAUCAUCCCAACACACCAUAUUUCAGCCUACACAACCCUGUGAUAUGUGUUAGCCAACUGAGAACCGAUCUCCUCUGCUUAGAUCGCCAGAUUUACACCAGGUCUCAGACUCCAGGAUGGGAAAUUGCUUACAAGAAAGAAACAUAUAAAGACAGAGACAGAGUUGUUGAUUUCCAUUGUUACUUGUAAUGUUAAAAUUUGGGAGAAAAAGACCAUCCCUAUUUUCUAAACUAGCUAUCUAGGCUACUCACCAUUCUAUAAGCGACAGAUUUGAGUCACCACUAGAAUAGUUAUUUUUGUGUUAUUGAUCUAAUUAAUCACAUUAUUAAUCUAACAAUAUAUUUUGUAAGAAAUGUAAGGUAUUUUUACAUGUUGCAAUAAAGUUGACUAAAGUAGAAGC
rnacentral:lncRNA from 1 species